UACGGAGGAUGCGAGCGUUAUCCGGAUUUAUUGGGUUUAAAGGGUGCGCAGGCGGUCUGUUAAGUCAGCGGUCAAAGCCCGGGGCUCAACCCCAUCCAGCCGUUGAAACUGGGGAUCUAGAGUGUGCGAGAGGUAUGCGGAAUGCGUGGUGUAGCGGUGAAAUGCUUAGAUAUUGCGCAGAACUCCGAUUGCGAAGGCAGCAUACCGGCGCCCAACUGACGCUGAAGCACGAAAGCGUGGGUAUCGAACAGG
rnacentral:rRNA from 1 species